AUGCCAAGUCAUGCAACAAGAGCCUGCAGAGCCCAGCAAACAGACAUGUGUGCAAGAUCAGGGAUGUGGGAAGCAGAGGAAAGUGGCAGAGAAGCCAUGCGUCUGUCAACAGUGACCCUGGAGCUGUGCAUCACAGAGAAACAGCAUCAUUUUAGAGGCAUACAACUAGCGGUUGCUUCACACGGAACGAGGCAGUGAACACAGGUAAAUGUCAUCCUUUCCUGUUCUUCAAUAGAAACUGUGUUUACAAGAGCAAAAGAGUAGUGCAGAAGGCCAAAAGUCUAAGUACUAAAGUUUUAAAACCACACAGAUAUAAAAAUAUACAUGUCCUUGGUUUUUGUAUGUUACUGCGGGAUCUACUUCAGCAUAAGGAUUGUUUUAGCCUCAUAGUAUUAGCUCUGCCGCCAGGCUACCUUACCCUUGAGCUCGGCUCUCCUGAAACUCUAGAAUCUCUUUUCCCAAACACACCUUAUCAGAAAGCCAGUCGGAAAACGGGUUUGUAAUAUGGUGCACAGGAAACCUUCACUUUCUUUCCUUCCUUUCCAUUAUCUCCCCUGGUUUGGAUGUCCACCCUGCAUUCUCGGGGCACAUGACAGUGAUACAUUUUUUAAAAAGAAGGUGGUCAAUUGGAGACCAAAAAGGUAAAUUUUAAUCUCAAAAAGCUUCACAGCUCUCCUUCGGGGUUCCACAGUUUUAGGGCCCGUAAGUCUAUUAAAGGCUUUAGUUCCCCUUUACAAGGAAAAGGAAAUGUCGAACCAAAAUCAUUUCAACGGGUAAUGGGCACUAGUGGGCAUCACCAACUCUGAGGCAGGAACACAGGAGGAAAGUACCAUUGCAGUGACCAGAAACCCAGCCAUGUGUGUAACAGGGAUUUCUGGCUGUAGCCUGUGUGGACAACACUGCAACUAAUAAAACCCCCUUACGGCUUCCAUAUCGAUUCUGCCAGUAAAAUUCACUGCAUACAAGGAAAGCAGGGUAGUCCUGUGAUCAUAUAAGCACAUAUCACAAGGAUUUAUCUCAAAGGUGUUUAUAAAGAUGAUGUUUUGGUUCAUGCACAUAUUUGCGUUUGUCUUUUUCUAAAUGUAAGCUCCCCCUGUGGGCAGGAACAGAGCUCUAUUUUCAUUGUAAUUCCCUACAACCCCUUGGUUGAGUGUGUUCUGCCUACAAGGGCCACCCAAUUAUUGCCGAAAGGCUGCUGGGAACUUCUCAAAUAUAUAUUCAUGCCUGUUGGUGAUAUUUACUUGCUGGCUUUCUUGAAGGUAGAUAAACAUAGAAACCUCUCCAUGGUUCAGUAUAGAGCAAACUUUGAAAUAAUGACUCUAUCCAAGUGGGUUUAGAGGUAAACACACAGACCUUCACAGUCUAAGCUGGUUUCAUUUAAGCCUGUCAUCCUGGGAAAGCUUCCUGUCAUGGAAUCAAUCACAGACUCUUCAGGGACAGGAAGUAUGUCUUGCUCUUUGUGUCGUCCACCCAGCACGAUGUUGGGCAUGGUGGUGAGGGUGUAGAGAGCAUCUGAUGGCAGUCGGGCUUCAGGGUACGGCAUAGAACAUCAUGCCCGUAGCUACAUUAUGCAGAGGGCUAGCAACUUCUCAUCUUUAAACAUGGAAGGGGUAUAAAUUACCAUGGAGACAUCAGAAUUUCCCUCCAAUGGAGCAUGUCAACUGUUUCAUCUUCAGUGUUGAUGAGUAUCACUAUGUAGUCUUUGCUAUUAAUAAGCAUGACUAUGCUGAGAUCAGAAAGGUCCUUGCUGGCUACAGUAUCACAUCAAUAGUGCAAAAUGUAUACUGGCUUCUAAAAUCUUAUUUUACUUGUAUAUGGACCCAGAGUAUCAUAACCAGGUAGAUAAGUUCACAAAGAAGAGUAAAAAAAUGCAUAUAACUUGCAUAUACAACAAUCAGCUAUUUCUUCUAGCUCAAGAAAACAUUUAAAACAAGGCUGGUGCUGCUAGUAGCAUUUGGAAGAAAACAUAUUUCUUGCCCCGUACAUUAUAAUGGGAGCUCUAAGUCUUUACAUUUAUUUCCUGGUGACUCUGAGGAGCUUCUUUACGUUGGCUAAGAAAGAACUCAGCCUCUAAUUCAUAGAUCAUGGAAAUGCAAAUAUGCACUUUUUCUAAUACUAUUGUUGUAUACUAUCUGCCCGUAGUUUUUGAGGCACAAUUAUUAAGGUUUCUCCUAGGGGCAAAAGAAAGCAUUCAGUGCAAUGAAAAGAUUCUUGAUAGAAUUAAGUUUCAGUAACAACUGCAAAAUUAUGCAUACAUAAUACAUAUUUUAAACAUGAACAAAACUAAAUUUUUAACAUGCUUUAAAAAUAGUCACUCUAUGUCUAAUGCAAAUACGACUUGGAGAACACUGCUCUUUAUUUUAAAAGCAGACUAAUUGGCAGGCUUCUAUUUGAGUACCCUUGAUUAUGUAAAAAAAAAAGUUACUCAAGCUGACCCAGAUGUGAAGAAACCAAUAGUUCUUUUAGAGAAGCCAACCUCAUGUACAAUACACACGAAAAGCUUUUCCUUCAAAGGGAAGCAAUACAUCCUUUGAUCAACAUGACUCCUUAAAGAAAUCCUAGUGCAGUUAAUAUUCUCUUCAGUUUUCUGGUGUUGGUCACCAGAGGACUGGACUUCUUCAAAGCUCUUGAAACUCUUUUUAAAGUAGACUUAAGCUACAUGAAGGUUAAAAUUAUAAUUCUUAAUUACUGAAUACUAUUCAGAAGAAGAUGAUUCUGGGAACUAAGUUCCAUAUAAAUGUUUCUACAAAAAUUACCACAUACUAUAGUUCUUCAUAGCACACAGCAUAGCAACGGCAAAGAUCUAGGCUGUUUUUGGUUGCAGGUUCCUUCUGUCCCACCACUUGUCUUUUUAUUAGACCUUCCCUGAAACUAGAUAAAUUAAAACAUCAUAGCAAAGUUCUUUGGGACAGUAACAGUUCCCAUUUAAGACUUCCAUGAGCAAAAGAGUUCUAUUCUGUGGAAACAACGUAGUGCUUUAAAAGGUGCAUAUUUACCUGUGUUGCUAGAUCAGUUCAUGAAGUAUAAAACUAUACACCACUGGAGUCCUGUUUCUAAAACAUUAAAAUCCUAUUAAAAGAGCUUUGAAAAGAUAAAUCAGAGUGAUUGCUACAGCAUGAGAAAGGUGCACCAGGAAAUCCUUCCAAAAAAUGCUGAAGGUUACAGAAGUGCUGGGAUUAGAUCAGACGCUUUCUCAGAGGAGUCACAACGAAACACAUGCAGGGGCAGGGUGCUGGGGAAACUUCACAAAAAUCUUCUUUGAGUCAAUAAAGAAGAGACAUUAGUCAGUCCUGCAAAUGCUCAGUCUGCAGUCUUCCUCCUAAGCGGUUGAGUUUUGAGCGGCAUCAGAGUUGCAUUUUUGGUUCUCUUUAAUGCAGACAUCAUAUUGCUGGAGUCU
ensembl:lncRNA